UUUGGUUAAAUGGAGGAUUUUUGUGGUAAAAAUGCGUGGCUUUCAGGUUAAAUGGGGGAUUCUCAAAGAGAAAAUGCAUGAUUUGGGGGGUAAGUUUGGGAUUUUCCAUGUGAAUAUGCGUGAUUUGGGGUUAAAUGGGGGAUUUUGGAAGCGAAAAUGCAUGUUGUUUGAGAUAAACAGGGGAUUUUUGUAGAGCGAAAGCAUGAUUUGGGGGUUAAAUGGGGGAUUUUUGAAGAAAAAAGGCACGAUUUUCGGGUUAAAUGGGAGAUUUUCCAAGGGAAAAGGCAUGAUUUUCGGUUAAAUGGGGGAUUUUCCAGAGUAAAAAUGCUUGGCUUUCAGGUUAAAGCGGGGAUACUCGCAGAUAAAAUGCGUGAUUUCUGGGUUGAAUGUUUUUUUUUUUUUUUUUUUUUUCCAAAAGUGGUGAUUUUUGAUUGUGUAUUUUUCCAAGAGAAAAUGCAUGGUAUUUGGAUUAAAUGGGGGAUUUUUGAAAAGAAAAUGCGUGAUUUUGGGGUUAGA
ensembl:lncRNA